rnacentral:tRNA from 1 species
AAAAGAGAUGGAACUCCAGUUCCUUCGGAAAUGGUCAGAUCUUUGGCGCAAAAAAAGGGGUUGAUCCGUAUC